CCUACGGGUGGCAGCAGUGAGGAAUAUUGGUCAAUGGUCGGGAGACUGAACCAGCCACGCCGCGUGGGGGAUGAAGGUACAGAGUAUCGUAAACCUCUUUUGUCAGGGAACAAAGGCGGGGACGAGUCCCCGGAUGAGUGUACCUGAAGAAAAAGCAUCGGCUAACUCCGUGCCAGCAGCCGCGGUAAUACGGAGGAUGCGAGCGUUAUCCGGAUUUGUUGGGUUUAAAGGGGGCGCAGGGUGUCUGUUAAGUCAGGUGUCAAAGGCCGGGGCUCAACCCCCGGACCGCGGUUGAAACUGGCAGACUCGAGUUGGAGAGAGGGAUGCGGAAUGCGCGGUGUAGCGGUGAAAUGCAUAGAUAUCGCGAAGAACUCCGAUUGCGAAGGCAGCUUGCUGGCUCCACACUGACGCUGAGGCACGAAAGCGUGGGUAUCGAACAGGAUUAGAUACCCCAGUAGUC
rnacentral:rRNA from 1 species